rnacentral:rRNA from 1 species
UACGUAGGUGGCAAGCGUUGUCCGGAAUUAUUGGGCGUAAAGCGCGCGCAGGUGGUUUCUUAAGUCUGAUGUGGAAGCCCACGGCUCAACCGUGGAGGGUCAUUGGAAACUGGGGAACUUGAGUGCAGGAGAGAAGAGUGGAAUUCCACGUGUAGCGGUGAAAUGCGUAGAGAUGUGGAGGAACACCAGUGGCGAAGGCGGCUCUCUGGGUCGGCCCUGACGCUGAGGCACGAAAGCGUGGGGAGCGAACGGG